ensembl:snRNA U6 U6 spliceosomal RNA
GUGCUUGCUUCCGCAGCACAUAUACUAAAAUUGGAAGGAUAUGGAGAUUAGCAUGGCCCCUCCCUGCACAAGGAUGACAUGCAAAUUUGUGAAGCAUUAAAAAUAAAA